UUAUUUUCAAGAACACUGGCCUGACAUCACUGUUUCCAGGUGCCGCUCCUACAGGCUUCCCUCCAGCUGGCCCUUCCUGCCAGGCCCUGGGAACACAGAGCGACAGGCACAGACGUCGGGCGGCAGGGUCCCUGGCGGCCCCCAGAGCCUGAGAGGAGCCUCUCCUCUGGGAGGCAGGAAGAGAAAAACAGCCCAGCGGCCACGCUGCCCCUUCCUCCCAGAAGAGGACGUGGCAGGAAGCAAGAGCGGUGCCAGCGGGGAGCUCGAGCCAUCUCUGUGGGCUGAACCGGGACCCCCAGAUGCCCACGUUGAAGUCCUAACCCCCGGACCUCGGCAAGUGACUGUGUUCGGAGACGGGGCCUUCAAAGGUGUCGUUAUGCAUGGGAAACCAGAGGGAACCCAACAUGAAGACGCGGGAGAAGAUGGCGACUUAGAUGCCAGGAGAGGGGCCCUGGGACGGGUCCUUCCUUGCAGCCUCAGAAGGAGCCAGCCCUGCCCGCACCUUGAUCUGGGACUUCUGGCCUCCAGAACUGUGGGAGGAUGCACAUCUGCCAGUCCAGCCCCCAUCUGUGUGCUCUGUCGUGGGAGCAUGGGAAACCAGCAGGAGCACUUCUCAGCUUACAGUGCAGGUCCGUCCUGAUGAACCCGGGGCAAGCUCGUGACAUCACUAAGUUGAGACUUCACUGACUUCACCUAACCUAGCGACCAUCACAGCUCAGCCCAGCCUACCGGAAACAUGCUCAGAACACCUACGCCAGCCUACAGCUGGGCACACACAUCUAACGCAAAGCCUGUUUUAUAAUACAAUGUUGACCGUCUCACGUAAGAGUACUGUACCGCAGAUUGCUAGCUCAGAGAAAGAUCGAAAUUCAAAAUUCAAAGUAUGGUUUCUACUGAAUGCAUAUUGUUUUUGCAACAUUAUAAAAUCAAAAAACGAU
rnacentral:lncRNA from 1 species